rnacentral:lncRNA from 10 species
GCCAUUCUCCCAGCUUCUGGUGGCUGUGGCCAAUUCUUGUCAUCCUUGGCUUGUAGCUGCAUCACUCUAACCCAGGAGUCCCCAACCUCUGGCCACAGAAGGCCUAUGGCCUGUUAGGAAUCAGGCCACACAGUAGGAGGUGAGGGCUGGUGAGUGAGCAUUACCAGUUGAGCUCUGCCUCCUGUCAGAUCAGUAGCAGCAUAAGAUCCUCAUAGGAGCUCAAAUCCUAUUGUGAACUGCAUAUGUGAAGGACUAGUUGUGCGCUUCUUAUGAGAAUCUAAUGCCUGAUGAUCUGUCACUCUCUCCCAUCAUCCCCAGAUGGGACCAUCUAGUUGCAGGAAAGAAAACAAGCUCAGGGCUCCCACUACUUCUGCAUUAUGGCCAAGUCUCAACCUCUUUGUGAUUCUACCUGUUCCUUCUGGAGCUCUGCAUGGCUGGCUUCUGGAAGGCCAUCAGCUGUGAUCUCACCUGGACCCAAAACUACAGCUCCCACUCACUGCCCAUCAUAUGAGCCACUGAAAGUCCUGGCGUGGUGUUGGAGGAGCUGUUUCCUGAUUGCAGAGUAUCUAGAAUGGAAGGCCUGUCGUGAUGGGAUUUUGUUGGCAGGUUGUCUUCCAGAUGGCUAUGAAGACAAUUUUGCUUUAUGCUGCCCAAUUCUGGUUGCUUCCUCUCCUAGGAAAUGAGAGCCUUCAUGGUGGACAUGGCCUUAAAGACCAACACUGUUGUUUUAUGGCUAAAAAGAUGGACAUACAGAUCGGUGAAAUGCCUACAAAACUAGAAUGCUACCCAGGCCCAGAGGCAGCUGUCUGAACAUAACCAUGGAGAGGAGAGUUUCCCCUUCCUGGAGCACCCUCUUCCCUUCCCUUCCCAGCACCCUCCUUCCCUGCUUCUCCAUCUGUUGUCACCUUUCCCCUCUGUACUGGAUUGAACAGUGUGCCCCAAAAAUUCAUGUUCACCUGGAACCUCAGCAUUUGACCUUAUCUGGAAAUAGGAUCUCUGCAGAUGUAACUCAGUUAACGUGAGGUCAUACUGGAUUAAGAUGAACCAUAAUCCAGGCUGGGUGCAGUGGCUUAUGCCUGUAAUCCCAGCACUUUGGGAGGCUGAGGCGGGAGGAUCACCUGAGGUUGGGAGUUUGAGACCAGCCUGACCAACAUGGAGAAACCCCGUCUCUACUGAAAAUACAAAAUUAGCCGGGCAUGGUGGUGCAUGCUGGUAGUCCCAGCUACUUGGGAGGCUGAGGCAGGAGAAUCACUUGAACUCGGGAGGCGGAGUUUGCGGUAAGCCAAAAUCGCGCCAUUGUGCUCCAGCCUGGGCAACAAGAGCAAAACUCCAUCUCAAAAAAAAAAAAAAAGAUGAACCAUAAUCCAAUAACUGGCAUCUUUACAAGAAGAGAGAAAUUUAGACACAAACACACAGUGGAAAGUGGUCACAUGAAGACAGAGGCAGAGAUUAGAGUUCUACGCCACAAACCAAGGAAUGCCAUACAUUGACAUCAACCAUUAAAGGCAAAGAAGAGACAAGGAAAAAUUGUUCUCUAGAGCCUUUGGAGAGAGCAUGGCCCUGCCGAAACCUUGAUUCCAGACCCCAACCUCCAGAACAGUGAGAGAAUACAUUUCUGUCGUUUUAAGCCAUUCAGUUAGUGGUGCUUUGUUACAACAGCCACAGGAAACCUGCACCCUCUUGUCUUGUGCUCUCCUCCAUCCCUCCCUUGGUGGAAGAAGAAUAGACUCCUAAGACACACGAAUUUACACAAACACAUUAGGAUCAAGGGCCCACAGCUUCAGUAUUUGCAUUUUAUAGGAUGACUUCCACUAAAGGUAACGAAGUGGAAGCAGGACUGGAAAUUCUCACAAAUGGAGGCCUAGUUACAGCUCUGCAAAUCACCCUUACAAAAAAAUGUAUCAUCACCUCCAUUUGAUAGAUGCAAAAGCCAGGGCUCAAAGAGGCAUGAGCAAAGGGGGCAGGGUUGUGUGGUGGCUAAGAGUGUAGCCUGUGGCCCCAUGGUCAGCCUGUGUCCAGAUCCUGGGUACUCUACUUCAUAACUGGCCAUAUGAACUUAGGCAAGUCAAUUUAACUUCUCUGGGCCUUGGUUGCCUCAUCUGUAGAAUGAGGAUAAUAAUAAUAAAAUCUAUCUCUAAGAUAGAUGGGAGGUAAAACCUAUCUCUAAGAUAGAUGGGUACCAUGGGUACCAUGCUCACUACCUGAAUGAAAGGAUUAAUGGUACCCCCAAACCUCAGUAUCACACAAUAUACCAUUAUAACAAACCUGCACCUAUACCCCCAAAUCUAAAAUAAAAACUGAAAAGAAGUUUUAAAAAAGUAAAAACAGAAAAAAAUGGAGCUAUGUGUAUUACUGGAAGGUUCUGGUAAUUUACCUAUUGUGGCUCAGCUACACAUCUCUUUGCUCUUUCAACCCUGCAAUACUUCUGUAACCACCCC